rfam:Glycine max cultivar Williams 82 chromosome 2, whole genome shotgun sequence.
GGCUUAUUAGCUCAGUUGGUUAGAGCAUUGUGCUAAUAAUGUAAAAGUCUUAAGUUUGAGACCUGCAUGGGUCA